rnacentral:rRNA from 1 species
CACGUAGUUGGCCGGUCCUUCUUCUGCACCUACCGUCACCACCGUUAAAGGCGCUUCGUCGGUGCUGAAAGAGGUUUACAACCCGAAGGCCGUCAUCCCUCACGCGGCGUUGCUGGAUCAGGCUUUCGCCCAUUGUCCAAUAUUCCCCACUGCUGCCUCCCGUAGGAGUCUGGGCCGUGUCUCAGUCCCAGUGUGGCCGGUCACCCUCUCAGGCCGGCUACCCCGUCGAAGCCUUGGGUGAGCCGUUACCUCACCAACAAGCUGAUAGGCCGCGAGCACAUCCUCCACCGAAAAAACUUUCCACCAAGAUCUCAUGCAAGACUUGGUCAUAUCCGGUAUUAGCCACCGUUUCCGAUGGUUAUCCCGAAGUGAAGGGCAGAUUACUCACGUGUUACUCACCCGUUCGCCGCUCGUGUACCCCCGAAAGGGCCUUACCGCUCGACUUGCAUGUGUUAAGCACGCCGCCAGCGUUCGUCCUGAGCCAGGAUCAAACUCU